AUACGUAGGUGACAAGCGUUAUCCGGAUUUACUGGGCGUAAAGGGCGUGUAGGCGGUCUUGCAAGUCAGAAGUGAAAUUCCUGAGCUCAACUCGGGCGCUGCUUCUGAAACUGCAGGACUUGAGUGCUGGAGGGGGUAGCGGAAUUCCUAGUGGAGCGGUAAAAUGCGCAGAUAUUAGGAAGAACACCGGUGGCGAAGGCGGCCAUCUGGACAGUAACUGACGCUGAGGCGCGAAAGCGUGGGGAGCAAACAGGAUGAGAUCCCCUGGUGGUCCACGCCGUAAACGACGAAUACUAGGUGUAGGGGGUAUCGACUCCCUCUGUGCCGCAGUUAACACAAUAAGUAUUCCGCCUGGGGAGUACGGCCGCAAGGUUGAAACUCAAAGGAAUUGACGGGG
rnacentral:rRNA from 1 species